AGACCCUGAGGUGGCCCGCUUCUUGACACUAAUCUUCCGUGUGUGGGUGUACUUUGGCAUCACCGCCAUGUUCCUCAUGACGUGCGUGGACAUCGGUCACUACUUGUAUGGUUUGUACGCCUUGAUGUUCCAUCCGCCACAGCAGCAGCUGGUAGCGGCAGAGGUGCUGCUCCCGCCUCCACCUCCGGAGAUGGACAUGUGCUAAAUUUGGUCUGUGGGUUCGGUAUGUGUUUGAUUGCUGGCAACAGGUGCGUUUUCUAACCCGUUCUUCAGUCUCUGUUUUAGUUGCUUACAGGUGUUGCUGCUCUCCUAGCUCAAGGUACAUGCCCUCCCCUUCCCGGCCCUAUCUUUGAUUCAGCACUUAUAAUGACGUAUUGCUUAACUAUGCAGCUAUAAGUAUCUGAAACAUUAAGUGUUGAAACAGAAAAUAUCUUGAUUUUAGGUUCCAUAUAUAGUGUAGUUGUCUGUGGCCCAUAUGAUUUGGUGCAGAUUUCGCUGCUUGUGCUAGACAUUCUGUUUUCAAUUUGUUUAGGCACUACUAGAAAUUGGAAGAUGCUUCAGGUGCUUCUUGUUUAGUAGCUAUUAAAUGGUAUGUUUUUUCAAGCCUCAAUCUAUCUUUUGUAAAACAAUGAAUCCACAAUGUGUUCAUACUUCAGUAGUUGCAAAGUGGGAGCACUCCAGUGAAUUUAUUACUUAAUUGUUCUGGUAUGUCUUUUCCUUGUUUAUUACUUUCUGUAUUUUGUGUUAUUUGUGAUAAACAGGCUUUCUUGAUGAAAGGAUCAAGUGGCAAGCAUCAGUGAGAGCACAUCACUUGAUGGCCCGAUCUGGACGUGAUCAUCACAGGGAAGUGGAGUAAAAGAUCAACCUGUUGAGUGCCAUGACAACAAAAAUGCCAGCGUGCUAAAUUAGGACAGAACUAAGUAGACCUGGAAAAUACUGCGAACGAAGUGGGAGAAGAACCAAGUUUGAAGCUUUUAACUGGAAUAGCUAUUACUUUUGUGUAGUUCGAAGUUUCUCAUUUGCAAUAGCUACUUUUUAUUUCAUAGUUUGUUCAGUAUCUUUAGGAAAUAAGAUAUGGUUUUUUAUAUCUCUAAAAGAAUUUCAGUUGCCAUUGUCUGUCCUGGAGUAGUGCUAAAAAUAAAUUUGUUUGAUUUCACAUGGUCUCUUGUUACUUGGGUUUCUUUUGUUCUCUGUGUUGUUUCUGCUGGGUCUUUGUCACUCCUGGUCACCCAAGUGUGACCUCUGUAGUAUAUGCACAAAAAUAUUACUAGUGUUGAAAAAGGUCUGAAAUUUUUUAAAUAAAUGGUACAGAACAAUGGUUUGUAUAUAUAGUUUAGUUACAUGUUUUUUAGUAUGUGACUGUACUGUGAAAAUCGGACAAUAGGCAACUAGCAUCUGGUACUUCCAUUGCAGGCUGAUUGGGAAGUCUAAUUGAAUUGUGGUGAUUGGCCUGAUUGGUGUUGGGUCUCACACAGAGGCCAUAUGCGGCAUGUGCCAAUGGUUAUGAGUUCCCUUUCUGCAAAAUGGAACAGCUAAAGGAUUUUGUUUUCCCUUUUUGUGCGCAUAAUAAAAAAAUGAAAUGAACUGACUAUUAAUACUGUUGUACUGUGUCACACUAAUUCUGUUUUAUGUUUUGGAAUUAGCUAGUCACUUGAUAUAUGUCAAAACUGCUAAUCUGAUAGGAUUUUCUUGUUAGUGAUAUCGAUAGCUAAUCUAACAUUUUGUUUGUGUGACCUUUUGAAUUAUUAUUCAAGUCUCUGUUUAUUUUUUACAUGCUUAUAGGUGUUGCUGCUCUCCAUGCUCAAGGUACAUGCCCUCCCCUUUUGGACCCUUUCUUUGAUUCAGCAUCUUUAAUGUCGUAAUUGCUUAAUUGUGCAGCUAUAAUAAGGAUCUGAAAUCUGAAAUAAUAAGUUUUGAAACAGAAAAUGUCUGGAUGUUAGGUUCCAUAUAUAGUUGUUUGUGGCCCAUAUGGUUUGGCACAGAUUUCUUUGCCUGUGCAAGACUUCUGUUUCCAAUUUGUUUAGGCACCAAUGGAAACUGGAAGAUCCUUAAGGUGUUUAGCUAUUAAAUGGUAUGUUUUUCAAGUUUUGUUCAAUCUAUCUUUUAUAGAACAAUGAAUCCACAAUUCUUAGUGUUGUGGAUGAUUGACUUGCUCCUUAAGGAUCUUCCUGGUGUAGGUUAUCCUCUCUUCGUUGCUAGAAUGAGCAUUUUGAUGUUGCUGCUCCUUGCGUUGCAUUUCUGUUGGUGUUAUAUUAUAGUGUGGAUAGUUCUGUUUACAAUUCUACUAGUGUAUAUUGCUUUCUUAGUUUCUUUUGCUAGUACAGUCAUUGAUUGGGUGCAUUGCGCUAUAGUUUCACUGCCAUUUCUUAAUUUUACAGCAUGUAAAUUCUUUUGUCACAUGACCCAUCUUUUAGCUGUGAAAUUAAAUGCGAGUGUGUUGAUAUAUAUACUCGGAAAUGUACUUCAUAUAUUUAACAACCUGACUUGACUACAAAAGAUCAUGAGUCCAUGUUGAAUUAGCACUAAUAAUCUGAACAUUGUUAGAAGUGCAAUCCUUUUCUAGAAAUUAUUUCACUUGAGAAGGAUGCAUUUACUUGCACCAUUUACUUGGACCUGUCAACAUAUGUAGGAUAUCGAACGUCAUAAUGUUCAAGUGCACAUUAUGUUCAACAAGGAUGAAUGACCCGGUUCAGGCAGGUCUUCACCAACUACAACUGGAAGACAGAUGCUCAAUCAUAUACAUUGUGGACAUAGCAUUGAUGAAAUACAGAGGCUAGAUUCUUUGCUAAGACAGCCUGAAUCCUAUGAUACAGAUUCAUUUUCUUAGUAGAUUGUUCCCCUUUUAUGGGAAAGCUAAUGAUUUCAAUGUUGCUAUGGGCAUCAGAGGCCAACCAUUGUACUAUAGGGCAUAGACAUAUUGUUUGAACCGCUUAAUAGUUUUAUCAGGCUUCAAAAGCCUCAGCUUGGAAUGGUAGUAUAUAUGUAUAUACCUGGCUCAAUGGGCUUGCAGUACCAUAUAAAUGGGAAUUACAGCCGUACAUGGACUGAGUGUGUUGUGUAAUAAAAAAGUACUCCACAUGUUAUGCGUUGGAGUCUCUAAUUAACUAUGUGUAUGACUUGAAUUAUGUGUUUGUUUUAGGAGAUCCAUUAUAUCAGUCUGCUGCUGCCUGUCAUGCAUAGCAGUGGCUAAAGAUGAGGCAGAAUCGAUUGGUCUUCUUCUUGGGAGUGCUUAUGAUAGCUGUUUACACUAGAGUUGUUUGUAUACAAUGUACUUAAUCUGGAUGUACUUGGCUUGUAUGUAGCGCUUCUAAAUAGUAAAUACUACUGGAAACAAUUUCAGUCUUAUUAGCAUUUUAUUUUCAAUAUGCGUAUCGAAUUCAGAGACCAAAUUACAAAUCAGUAUGUACAGAUUGUGUGUGGCCUACCUCUGAAAAACAGCUUGUCUCUGUCAGUGUGUCCCAACACACAAGUUAAGCUUGAUCAGACUGAGCUUCCUGUGUAUUGUGUACUGCUACGACAGUGUCAAUAGGUCACAAAUCUGUGUUUCAGGCCUCAAAAAGUAGUUUUCGCCUGAUAGCAAGUGUUGGCAUAUGAAAGCCAUAUGGUUUUAGGACGAUGGCACUGCACCAGUAGAUGAAUCCGUUUGAGUUAGGUCAUAAUUUGUUUUCAGAGUUUGAACAGUAACUAUUGGUUUAUAUCACAUUUAAACGUUCAUUAGUGUGCUAGUGUGUUCUAGUAUCUGAUCCGAGAUGCUUGUGGCUUUUUUUCAGCCAGACUAAAAAAAAUUCUAGUAGUGACCUAGGUCACUUGUUCUUUCAGGGCUUUUAAUAUACUACCUCUGUCCUUGAAAGUUUUAACUUCUAGAGUUGUUUUAAGGUCUUGUUUAGUUCCGAAAUUUAUUAGUACGCUGUCAAUUAGAAUAAAAAAGCGUAAGGAUAGGAGCAUGGUCAUUGCGAAGCAUUGGAAGAUAAUAUAUAGUCGUCCGAGGAUAAGCCAUAUAUCAUUCUGCGUUGGCAAGACAUUGAUCAAGAUGUUCGAAAGUUGGAGCAGAGCUGAAUCUCUUAUUGAUCCAUGUGUACGCCGGUCCGCUAUAUCCAAGAUCAAUGAAACCAUGCUGUUUGACAAAAUCACAGAAAACAUUAAUGCGCCUAAGAUCAGGUCUACCAGGACCUAAUUUUUCAUUGGGUACAUAAUAUCAUUCAUAUCUCCCAUAGAGAACAUAGACAAUGUGCUAUGACUUACAACAAAAUCCAGCACACGCAUCCAUAUGGUAGUAGUGUUAAUGUGAUGAGAGUCACCGUAAAUACAAACUAGCCCAAAUUGUUUCUGGUCUAGAUUAUUACUACACAAGGCAAAAAUAUAGUUUUGAGACUGAUCAACUACCGUGAGACUGGCCUUGAGCAGGGAUUACCAGCGCAUUUAUGGCAUUAAAACGAUUAAUUAAAGAAGUACGAGAUGUGUCAUCUAGUUUAAAAAAUAAAACAUACCUAUGACUUAGUAGAGGUAAUUAGGCGGGCAAGAUGUGUCAUCUUAGAACUGCUCGGGGAUCCGCCCGAUCCCCGACAGUUCCAUGCCAGGAGUGUCAUGGCGUCCACGACGCCUAUGCGGCUGGUGCUGGAGCCUUUUGAAGAUUGAGGUCGAUAACAAGCUGAGUAGGGCUGCGAGCCGUACCCUCGCUUUUACUAGUGUCACUUCAUGGCUAAGCUGUAGAGUGGGGUUCACCAUGGGGGAGAGCAUGAUGUUUUUCGUCACCCAGAUCUAGUUCGCCGAGAGGAAGCUGGCGAUGAUCAGGAAUGUGAGCCGUAGCCAUAGUGUCGGUGCCGUGGGGCGACGUAUGGCAAGGAUGCAUUGAAGUGAGAGAUUGAUGUUGCUGGGAUGGCGUGGUGGUAUGGCUUAUUGGAGACGCGGGUUGAGGCCGAGGUGGAGAGGUGGGUAUGGGGGUUGAAACCAUUGGUGGAUGAGGAAGCGUCUUGGUCGGGUGGCUUAGGCUCCAUGGUGAGGGGGACCGGCAAGGAAGUAUAGUCGCUUGCCAUGGUGGAAAGGGAUAGAAGAAGACGUAGAAAGGGGAGUACAAACGUGAAUGACGAGGGCUCAUCAGUAAGAUAUAGCAUACCUCCUUCAAAUCUAGAUCUCAGGCUAUUGAUUGCCACCAAUUGAAGCUACAGACAACCUAGAGCAGACACAUUGAAUUGCAUGAUAGGGAGAUUGGGAGGAGAUUUGGCGCAGGGGAUUCAGCUUCCGCCACUACACAGGUCCUAUUGUGUGGUGCCCACUGAGAGAAUCAGCGGAAGGAGCCAGACCGCUCAGAUCGGAUGAGGAUUGGCACACAGGAUGAUGAUCGGAAGGAUUGGGAUGGAUUAUAGCAAGGGGAAUCAAGGAUUGCGGGGGGGGGGGGGGGGAUUGAGUGGUAGGAAGGUAACUCAUGGCAUAACGGCCAAUGCUACUCAGAGUUCUCGUGGUCUAGUUCAUAGCCCAACCUAAUAUAAAUCAUCAUGGGAAGAAAAAAGUACCGAUACAUAAUAGAAAUACAGUCAACAGUGACUACACACAGACAGGAACAAACAUUGAUUUGAAAUGAACAAAUUAUAAUGUUCCUUUUUUUAGAACACACUCUGCAUUAAAUCUGACAAAAUAGAAGUUAGUAGUAGCAGCACUACAGACUCUGUCAGAAACUAAGCGAGGGUGCAAAGCUUUAGCAUUUCGGAGUGAUCAAGGGGGAGAGUUUAACUCCAUUGAGUUCAAGCAGUACUGUGAUGAGCAUGGAGUCAAAUAUUUCACCACAACUCCAUAUACACGGUAGCAAAAUAGCACUAUUGAGCGAUAGAAAUGCACCGUAGUGGGAAUAGCUAGAUGUCUGUUAAAGAGCAAGAGUGUCCUUGUGAGUUUUGGGGAGAAGCGGUGUCAGCUGCAGUCUAUUUACUAAGUCCUUGUUUAGUUCGUAAAAUUUUUUGUUUUUGGAUACUGUAGCAUUUCGUUUUCAUUUGACAAACAUUAUCCAAUCACAGAGUAACUAGGCUCAAAAGAUUCAUCUCACAAAUUACAGGUAAACUGUGCAGUUAGUUUUUAUUUUCAUCUAUAUUUAAUGCUCCAUGCAUGCGACCAAAGAUUCGAUGUGAUGGAGAAUCUUGAAAUUUUUUGCGAACUAAACAAGGCCUAAACCGAGCCCCAACAAAGAGCCAGCAAGAGAAAACUCCAUGGCACGACCGCAAGCCCAAAGUACAUCAUCUUCGCACGUUUGGUUGCAUUGCCUAUGUGAAGAUAGUUGAGCCUGGUAACUAAAAUGGUGUUUGUGAGCUAUAAAGCAGAACUAAGGGUUAUGAUGCCUAGCCUUGUUGAUGUGGCAUAGCUCGGCGCCAUGAAACAUAGCGCUGACAUCAGUGCUAAUGUCAAACGCUGUCCUCGCCAUCAUCAGCUUUGCUUUCGAAGCUGCAUGCGCUUUCGAAGCUGCAUGUCGUCUCGUUAUACCUGCUCGUGUGCUCUGCAUGCAUGCACCACCUCACUCAAUUAAUGUUCACGUGCAGUGCAUGCAUGUAGGUAGCUAGCCUCAUGGCAACUAGGCCUUAGUUCCAAAUGUUUUUCUAAAAUAGACAUUGUAACAUUUUCGUUUGUAUUUGACAAAUAUUAUCAAAUCAUGGAUUAACUAGACUCAAAAGAUUCAUCUCGUAAAUUACAUGUGAACUGUGUAAUUAGUUUUUAUUUUUGUCUAUAUUUAAUGUUCCAUGUAUGCGUCUAAAGAUUCGAUGUGAUGGAAAAUCUGAAAAAUGUUGCAUUUUUUUGCGAUGAAAGAAGAAUCAUAUUAGAUAAUAGUUGGGUACAUGAAUACAUUACAAGCACUCUGGAUUACACAAAUAUUCAGAAAAAAUCAUCUAAGUUAUACCCAAGCUGUGAAUAGCUUUAGAUCUCAAAACCAAAAUUUUUUGAGAACUAAACAAAGCCCUAAUAUGCUGUAGUGCAUGUGAGAGGGUGGUAUGGCACAUGGAAAGCUGUGUUUUUUUUUGUCUCGGUGAAAAUAUAUUGAUAGAGCCUUGUAUAGUUACAUUUUUUUUGUAUCUGAUUACUGUAGUAUUUUUAUUUUAUUUGACAACUAAUAUCCAAUUACAGACUAAUUAGGUUUAAAAGUUUCAUCUCAUAAAUUAUAGGCAAACUAUGUAAUUAGUUAUUUUUUAAUCUAUAUUUAAUAUUCUGUGCAUGUGUUCAAAAAUUCAAUGUGACGGGAGAAAAGAAAAAUUUUGGAACGAAACAGGGCUCACGUGACCAUGCUAGAGGCAAGUUUGUUGCCGAUUUUUUUUAAAGGGACGGUGGAUUUUUCACAAGAGAUGAAGAGACUUUUUACUGCAAAUAAAAAGAUAAUACCGUGUGAUUGAUUUUUCUAUGCGUGGGUCCGUUGGUUGAUCAGAAUUUUUUUCUCAGUACUGAAAUUACAAAUUGCGUCUAUAGAAAAUGUAAUGAACAAAAUCUUCUAUUUUGAUAUAAUAUAUAUGCAAUAAUAGUCGCCUGCAAUGACCUUGGUCAUGUGUUGCAACUAGAAAAAAAUACUCAUGUGUUGCUACUGAAAAAAGUAAUAUCAUAAUAAUUUAAAUUUCAACAUGUGUUGUACUGUAAACACAUAUUUUCAACAUGUGUUAGUUCGCGAUUUUUUUACUUUGGCUACUACUGUAGCAUUUUCGUUUAAAUUUGGUAAUUAUUAUCUAACUAUAGACUAACUAGGCUCAAAAGAUACGUCUCGUAAAUUUCAGGUAAAUUAUACAAUUAUUUUUUUAUUUAUAUUAAAUGUUCCAUGCAUGCAUCCAAAGAUUUGAUGUGAUGAAAAUCUAGAAAUGGCUACACUGAUGCCCACGGGACGCAAGGCUUGCGUGGCCGCAUGAGGCCAUUGGCUGAGCUGUAUUCCCUCUAUAUAGGGUCUAGAUGUCGUUUAGGAUAGCGAUACGAUCUACGAAACACAACUUUGACCUCUUAUUUUUAUAAAAAUAUUUAGAAAAAAUGAUAUAUGUAUUUUUAAAGACAAAUCUAUUCAUAAAUUUUUGAUAUUUGCAAACUCAACAAUUUAAAAGUUAUUGAUGAUUUAUAUUCCAAAGUUUGACCCAAACCUUGUCCAAAACGAUAUCUAAAUUCUAUACGAAUGGAGUACUUGUAUAUUUCAACUUUUAUGCAUGAAGAAAUCAAUUUUUAGUUUUUGUGGCAAUGCACAAAAUUAAUUACUCGCUUCAUUCUAAAUUAUAAGUCAUAAGUCAUUUCAAGAAUUUUGGAGAUUUAAAGUAUCUCAAGUUUAACCAAAAUUAUAAAGAAAAUAUAAAAAUUUAUGACAUUAAAUAGGUACAAUAUGACGAAAUUUAUGAUGCCAACUAAGUAUCAAUGUAUCAAUAGAUUCUUUAUUAAUUAUAUUUUUGUUAUGAAAGUGCAUUUGUCCCCUAUGUGGGUUUUGGUGUAUUGAUGACAUCCAAUUUAGGGACUAAUGCGUUGUAUUUGAGAUUUGCUACAGCUACUAGUCUCAUGAAAGAUGCAAAGGUUCGACUUAAGAUGAAAUGGUAUCCCCCAAUCUUCGUUCGUGAGAAAGGCGUUGGAAUCAAUCUAGAGCUUAAUUGUUUUUCUUUAAUUUUGGGGAUAGGUAUGCCGUACUAUCAAGAGGGAUUCAAAAGUUGUUGGUUUGGCGAAGAUAGAGUGCUCAAGUCUUUCAACUAAAACUUUUUAGAGACACUCUAGCACCUCUCUUGCACUUAGGUUUAACUUCUGUGACUUCUGGUGUCGGAAGUCCCGACGCGGGUCGGAACUCCCGACGUGCUGCGCGAGAACUGUGAACGUCGGAAGUCCCAACGUAAGUCGGAAGUCCCGACGUUGAGUUCUGCGCGCGCACAUGUCGGAAGUCCCGACAAGCGUCGGAAGUCCCGACGCCAGAACUUUGGCUGGCUGCUCCCUCGCACGAGCGUUAGCAGUCCCGACCAGCGUCAGCAGUGCUGACGCGUCGGAAGUCCCGACGCUUGUUGGAACUUCCGACGUUGCCGUUUCUGCGCUGACUCAGUUUGCCUGUUGAACAGUUUUUCCCCGUGAGUGUCGGAAGUCCCGACACUAUGUCAGAACUUCCGACGUAGACCUGAGCAGACUUUUCUCCCAGUAGUAUAAAUAGCUCUCUCUGUGUUUCUAACCGUUACCCACUCUUUCAUUGCGACCAUCCCUCAGACUAAACAGCUCCCAAGCAUUCAAGACUCCCCUCUCCUCCUCCUCUUUGCUCCCAACUUCGAUUCACCUUAGAUUUGGAGUGAUUGGAGAGUGGUUAAGUGAGAGCAACGUCUUGAGAAGCUUGAGCACUUGAUCUCUUCGUCAAGCCGGCAGGUUUUGAGUUUAUUACUCUUGGGUUCUUGGAACCCUAGCCGGCUAGGCAUCGUCCAAGAGCUUCCAUCUUGUGGAAGAGCCUUGGAAAGUUUGUAUUACCCGGUUUUUCUUAGUGGAAAGCUCAAGUGACCUUUGUGGUUACUUUGAGGGAGGCAAGGAGGUGAAAGAGACUCCGACCUUGGUGGUCACCUCAACAACGAGGACGUAGGAACUCCUAAGUGGGGUUGCCGAACCUCGGGUUAAAUCCUUGUGUCUCUUGUGGUAGUUUGUCUUAAGAUCUACUUGUAUUACUUGUAUUUGCUUGUGCUUCAACCUCCUUUUAGGGUUUGGUCUCGAUCUACGGUUUGGGGGACUCUUGGUGUCAAGGAAGGUUCUCAACAUCCUCUUCUAACCACUAGAGAGUGGUGUUGUAAGUUGUGGAUCUCACAAAGUUCAUUUAAGCACUUGUAGUUCAUUUCCCGUAGGUGUCGGAACUGCUGACAGUUUGCGUUGGAACUUCUGACAACGUCGGAAGUUCUGACCCAAACUGUCGGGACUUCCGACAGUUACUGACAAGUGACUUUGAGUUUUGUGUAGAAUUUUUAUAUACGCCUAUUCACCCCCCCCCUCUAGGCAUUGUUUAGAUCCUUUCAAUUGGUAUCAGAGCGAGGUCUUCUUUUAGCACUUUACCGUGUGAGAAGAAACAAUGUCGGAAACCGAAAAGACACAAGAAUUGGCUAAGGAAAUAGCCAAAGAACUGUUGGCAGCUCAAUCAAAGCUUUUUCAAGAUGAAAUGAAGAAAAUGCAAGAUGAGAUGACAAAGUUAAAAGAAGAGCUGAGCAAGAAAGUUGAUGAUGCAAUAGGUAGUAGGAAAUCUGAUGAGGGACCUAGUGGACACAAAGACAAUGAUAAUGAAAGUGAAGUUGGAGGUAAAGAAGAAGGUCAGUCUACUCCAACAUGAACUUUGAUUUUUCACAGCUUAUCAAGGCUUCACAUCAUGCUCCAUCUAUCAACCUAGGGAAACCUCCUCACUUUGAUGGAACUAGAUAUCCCGAUUGGGCCUACAAAAUGAAGAUGCAUCUCAUUGCCGCAAAUCUUUGGGAAGUGGUAGAUGUUGGUGUAACAUUUCCCACUGAAGAUAGAGAGAUCACUCCGGAGGAAGCUCACACCUUUCGUCAAAAUGCACAAGCUGUAGCUAUUUUAGUUUCAAGUUUGGCUCCAGAUGAAUUCAACAAAGUGAAUGGAAGAGAAGUUGCCAAGGAUAUUUGGGAAGUGUUGAAGACAGCAUUUGAAGGUGACAAGAGUGUGAGAAUGGGUAACAUUGAGUUACUUCAUGGUGAGUUGGAAAGAUUUGUUUUCCUAGAAGGUGAAUCCACUCAGGCUAUGUUUGAUAGGAUGAUGUCUUUGGUCAAUCGGAUAAGAUCUAUUGGAAGCACUGAAUGGGAUGAAAACAAGGUUGCUAGGAAGAUCUUGAGAACCUAUAGGGCAAAGAACAACAUGCUAGCAUCAGUGAUUAUGGAAAGGCCCGACUAUGAUUGCAUGACACCUCAAGAAGUUCUAGCCAAGCUCAAGCAUCAUGAGUGCCUUGAUCAAGAUGCAAUCAAUGCACAUAGUCAAAAUCCUAGUGCAAUGGGAUACAACAAGAAUGUAGCUCUAAAGGUAGAGCAAGGCCAUGAACACCACAAGUCAUGUCAAGAAAAGAAGAAAGUGAAGGAUGAUUCAUCAAGUGGUGACGAAGAUUCUGAUCAAGAAGUUGCUUUUAUCAUUAGAAAUCUCAGAAAGUUUAUGAAGAAGAAGGGUCAUCAAAAGAAGAAGAGGUUUUGCUAUGGAUGUGGACAGACCGGUCACUUCAUAGCUGAGUGCCCAAAUAUGAAAGACAAGAACAAGUACAACAAGAAUAAUGACAAGAAGUACAAAGGAAAGAAAAAGGGUGAAGCUCAUCUUGGUGAAGAAUGGAUAUCCAAUGAUAGUGAUUCAAGUGAUGAAGAGAAGAAGAAGAAGAAAGGAGCUGCAAAUAUUGCCAUCCAAAAAUCCUCAUCAUCACUCAUGAACCUCCCAAAGGCUUCACCACCAAAGCUCUUCCCCAACUUGGACUCCAAACCAAGCCUCUUCGCCAACCUCAUCGACGAUGAUUACUACACUCCAACUUGCCUUAUGGCUAAGGGGGAGAAGGUAACUACCUCAUCUGAAACCUCUAGUGAUGAAUAUGAUAGUCAUGAUGAAAACAUAGAACAACUUGAGGCAUCCUUGAUAAAGAAAUUUGGUCAUAAGGCCUUCACUAAAAUAAAAAGUCUAAUGAAGAAAUUAGAGAAGAGGGAUAGAUGCUUAGAGAUGAAAGGUGAUAUAAUUGUGCAAGAGAAGGAAAAGAACCUAGCACUUGAAGCAUCUAUCGCCGAGGAAAAGACGAAGGUUGAAAAGUUGACCGUUGAAUUGUCUUUAGCCAAUGACUCAAUUGGGAAAUUGACUAAGGAACAUUCCUCGGUUGAUGAUCAAGUAGCUAGCCUUAAAAAUGAGAAUAGUAUAGCUCAAGAAAGCCUCACAAGCUUUAAGGAAAAAUACCGAAUUCUUGAGUUAAACUAUAACACUCUUUGGGCUAGCACUUCGACUUCUCCUAAGGCAACCAAAGACUCUAAUGUCUCCACUAGCAACGGUUGUAAAAGAUGCUACAAAGUUGAUGUAAAUGCAUAUGCUACUAACCUUGUUGAGUUAGAGAAAAAGGACAAGGAAAUCAAUAGGUUGAAGAUGGAAAUUAAGAAGGGGUGUAAAUGCCAAGAGCAAUCUAAAAGGACUAUAUACAAGGCAUUUAGGCACCCAUCCAUCAAGGAAGGACUUGGUUUUAAUAGGUAUGAUGGAAAGGUCAAUGGAAGAAACAUUGUGAACGGAGUGCCUUGUGUAAAGUUCAACAAGGGUGUUGCCCUUGAUGAGCUUAUCUGCAAGGCAAACAACAAGGUUUAUCUUCCGUUGAUUCAACCUACAAACAACAAGGAAAGCAAGAUAAAGCCAUCCGAAGCUCCCAAGCCACAAGCACCACUUCCACGGUGCUAUGCUAGUGACUAUAUGUGUUGUUAGGGCAAAGAUAGCAAGAUCGUGGUAAAGUAUGUUGGUGCCCACAAGAGGAAGGAAAUAUUGAGGAGUGUCUGGGUGCCAAAACUUUAUGUGACUAACCCCCUAGGACCCAAAUCUAUUUGGGUACCUAAAACACAAGUUUGAUUUGUCUUGGUAGGAAUACUCCUCCAGUGGAACAAGUUGGGUGUUGGAUAGUGGAUGCACCAAUCAUAUGACCUGAGAGAAGGAUAUGUUCACAUCAUUCCAACCUAGUGGUGAACAAAGUGGAAACAUUGUAUUUGGUGACAAUGGAAAAGGAGAAGUACUUGGUUUGGGUAAAAUUGCUAUCUCAAAUGAUAACUCCAUUUCCAAUGUUUCACUUGUAAAUUCGUUGAGUUACAAUUUGUUGUCCGUCUCGCAACUUUGUGAAAUGAGUUACAAUUGUCUCUUUACGGAUAAGGGUGUGGAAGUCUAUAGAAGGGAGGAUUCCUCUAUUGCAUUUACGGGUCACCUAAAAGGGAAACUCUAUCUAGUUCAUUUCACAUCAAAUAGAGUAAAGCCCGAGACUUGUUUAAUGGCAAAAUCUAGCAUGGGGUGGUUAUGGCAUCGCCGACUUGCCCAUGUUGGGAUGAGGAACUUGGCCAAACUUCAAAAAGGCGAACACAUCCUUGGACUAACAAAUGUUUCUUUUGAGAAAGAUAGGAUUUGCAGUGCAUGUCAAGCGGGAAAGCAAGUAGGAGCUAAGCAUCCCGCAAAGAACAUCGUGACAACCGAAAGGCCUUUGGAGCUGCUACACAUGGACAUAUUUGGACCCGUGGCUUACAUAAGCAUUGGUGGUAACAAAUAUGGUUUUGUGAUUGUUGAUGAUUAUUCACGUUACACUUGGGUUUUCUUUUUGCGUGAUAAAAGUGAGGUCCAAGGUAUUUUCAAGAAGUUUGCAAGAAGAGCUCAAAAUGAGUUUGAUGUCAAGAUCAAGAAAGUUAGAAGUGACAAUGGGACGGAGUUCAAGAACACCAACAUCAAAGAGUACCUUGAUAAAGAAGGAAUCAAGCAUGAGUUUUCGGUUCCGUACACUCCUCAACAAAAUGGUGUUGUGGAGAGAAAGAACCGGACACUCAUAGAAGCCGCAAGAGCAAUGUUGGAUGAAUACAAGACUCCGGUGAACUUUUGGGCGGAAGCGGUUCACACGGCGUGUCAUGCUAUCAACCGCUUGUAUCUUCACAAGAAAAGAGAAAAGACCGCCUAUGAACUUCUAACUGGUAAAAAGCCCAAGGUGCACUACUUUAUAGUUUUUGGAUCCAAGUGUUUCAUACUUAACAAAAAGUCCAAAAGCUCAAAGUUUGCACCAAAGGUUGAUGAAGGUUUAAUGCUUGGUUAUGGUACUAAUGAACAUGGAUAUCGUGUUUUCAAUAAAACCUCCAGUUUGAUUGAAAUUGCGGUAGACGUGACCUUUGAUGAAACCGACGGCUCUCAAAAGGAGCAAGUCAAUGUUGAGAUUGUAGGUAAUGAAGCAGCUGCACAAGAAGCUAUCAAGAAGCUAGCAAUUGGUGAAAUAAAGCCCAUUGAAGAUGACGAUGAAGAAAGUGCAGUGCAUGUUGAUCAUGAUUCUACCAUUCAUCAUGGCUCAUCCAAUGAGCAUGGUGAGGCUUCCGCAUCAAGAAUCAAUGAAGAUUAUGGCAACAACGUGCAAGCUCAACCUCAUCUUAAUCUUGACCAUACAAGUGAAGACAAUCAUCCACAAGAUCAUAGUCUUGGUCUUCCAAUAGAUCAUGGCUAUGAUGAUGAAGAAGAUGAUGGCCCCAUUCAAAGAUCAACUCAAGUGCCACAUCCUAGAGUACAUCAAUCAAUUCAGCGGGAUCAUCCCGUUGAUAACAUUUUGGGAAGCAUUCGACGAGGGGUAACGACACGUUCUCGUUUAGCAAGUUUUUGUGAAUAUUACUCGUUUGUUUCUCCUUUGGAACCUCGUAGGGUGGAAGAAGCACUUGAUGAUGAAGAUUGGAUGAUGGCCAUGCAAGAAGAGUUGAACAACUUCACACGGAAUGAAGUCUGGUCCUUGGUGGAAAGGCUCAACCAAAAUGUGAUUGGAACCAAAUGGGUCUUCCGCAACAAGCAGGAUGAGCAUGGCGUGGUGACAAGGAACAAGGCAAGAUUGGUAGCUCAAGGUUUUACUCAAAUAGAAGGAUUGGAUUUUGGGGAGACCUAUGCACUGGUGGCAAGGCUAGAAUCCAUUCGUAUUCUACUAGCCUAUGCUGCCCAUCAUGAUUUCAAGCUAUAUCAAAUGGACGUGAAGAGUGCAUUUCUCAAUGGCCCCCUAUCCGAGUUGGUGUAUGUUGAGCAACCACCGGGCUUUGAAGAUCCCAAGUUUCCAAAUCACGUCUACAAGCUCGACAAAGCACUCUAUGGGCUUAAACAAGCCCCUAGAGCUUGGUAUGAUUGCUUAAAGGACUUCCUACUCAAGCAAGGGUUUGAGAUAGGAAAGGCCGAUGCUACCUUGUUUACUCGCAAAGUCAAUAAUGAUUUUUUUGUGUGCCAAAUAUAUGUCGAUGACAUAAUAUUUGGUAGUACUAAUGAAGACUUUUGUGAGGAAUUUAGUAGGAAUAUGACGAACAGGUUUGAGAUGUCUAUGAUGGGUGAGUUGAAGUUCUUUCUUGGAUUUCAAAUCAAGCAACUCAAAGAUGGCAUGUUCAUAAGUCAAACAAAGUACACCUACGAUAUGCUAAAGAAGUUCGACAUGGACAAAGCCAAACCCAUCAAAACACCGAUGCCAACAAGUGGGCAUCUUGACCCUGAUCAAGGAGGAAAGGACAUCGAUCAAAAGGUAUAUCGCUCCAUGAUUGGAUCCCUCCUUUACCUUUGUGCAUCUAGGCCCGAUAUUAUGCUUAGUGUGUGCAUGUGUGCAAGAUUUCAAGCUAGUCCAAAAGAAUACCAUCUAAUGGCUGUUAAGAGAAUCUUUCAGUAUUUAGUGCACACUCCUAAUCUUGGCUUGUGGUAUCCCAAGGGCUCCACUUUCGAGUUACUUGGCUAUUCCGAUUCGGAUUAUGCCGGUUGCAAAGUAAGUCGAAAGAGUACCACCGGGACUUGCCAAUUUAUUGGUAGGUCUUUGGUGUCUUGGAGCUCUAAGAAGCAGAACUCCGUUGCUUUGUCCACCGCUGAGGCCGAGUAUGUGGCGGCCGGUGCAUGCUGUGCCCAACUACUUUGGAUGAAGCAAACCCUCAAAGACUUUGGUUGUGAGCUAAACAAGAUUCCCCUUUUGUGUGACAACGAGAGUGCCAUUAAGUUGGCAAACAACCCUGCAAACCACUCUCGAACAAAGCACAUAGACAUCCGGCAUCACUUUUUGAGAGACCACGAAGCCAAAGGAGAUAUCGCACUUCAUCAUGUGAGCACCGAUAAACAACUAGCCGAUAUCUUCACAAAGCCCCUAGAUGAGUCAAGAUUUUGUGCUUUGAGGAGUGAGCUAAAUAUCAUUGAUUCUCGUAACCUACUUGAUGUCUUGCACAUAAUUUGAUUGAUCUAGGUAGGAGAAAAUUGUUUGCAAAGUUUGUUUGCUGUCUUUCAAAAUCUAAUUUAAUAUAGGUUUCAUGGAUGAUUAUAGUUAUAUAAUGCUUGUUUGUCAGCUAGUCAUCCUUGAAAUCAUUUGUGUCCAUCAUAUUUAUACCCCACUUUGCAGAGAGAGCUCAAAUUCUGAAGUUUUUGGGUUUUCCUGUGUCGGAAGUCCCGACGUGCGUCGGGAGUUCCGACGUGGUUGCGGGCUGAGCCCUCAGCCGGGAGUUCUGGCUGGCGUCGGGAGUCCCGGCCAGCGUCGGAAGUUCCGACGUGAGCCGAAAGUCCCGACGCAGAUCUCGCGCGCGUGCGGCAGACCUGUUUUGACUGGCUUGCCCCCCCCCUUUUUCACCCCGUGACCGCAGUCUUCCCCCCCCCCGCAGUCAGUUUCUUUCCCCCCCGCGCCUCCUCCUUCCCCAUUCCGAUCCAGAUCUGCCGCCGUCUCGCUGGCCUGCUCGGUCGCGGUGCGCCUCCCCCCUCCUUCCGUCGUGGUUCGCGGUGGUGCGCCUUGCGUCCUCUCCGUUGUGGUGUGUUUCGCCCUUCCCGAAGCCCUGCGUGCGCGGCGUGUGCUGCUCCUCGUGCGCAGCGUGUGUGGCGGCCGUCUCUUCGGCCGGACGUCUUCCUCGUCGCGCGUUUCUUUCUUCCUCUUCAGGUGCUUUCCCCUCUCUCUUCUCUCUCUCUCUCCCGUGUCUUGGCUUUGGAGUUUUUCGACCUCGUGCGUCGGGGGUUCCGACGGCUGUCGGGAGUUCCGACUGUCGGGACUUCCGGCCUGUGCCGGGACUUCCGACCUCGCGGUCCCUUGCUCCAUCGCAUGUCUUCCUCCAUCUUGUCUUCUAUCCUUUCUUGUGUUUGCCCAGCGUCUUAGUUGUUCGUCGCUUAUCUCGCAGUGAUGACUCGUGGAAGCCCUUCUCGCCAUGUUGAGAAGAGGUCCAAGACCAACCAGGACCGCUCCGCUGCCCCCCGCACCAAGGCUGUUCUCCCUCGGGCUGGUGCUGGUGGCUCUCGUCGUGUCGCUGCUGCCGCCGCUGCCCGUGCCUCUGGGCAAGGCCCAUCGGCUCCGGUGGCAGCCCCCCCUCAGUCCUCGCACCGGGAUCCUGAUCCCACCGGGCGUGACACCGAGGUCGACCCUGCAGAAGAGGAGCUUGAGCGUGCUGGGCGGACUAUUUCCGCUCAAGUGCGCUCCCUGUAUGAUGGGCCGGAGUGUCCCGUCUCCACGCUUGUCCCCUUCGACUCUCCGGCCCCCGUCGUGCGCUGCCCCGAGAUUGCUCCCAACAUGGGUGGUUGGGCUCCUCCUCGUCCGAUUGAUUUCCGCCACAACGUCUGCGACAUCAGGUCCUUCCGGAGCCGCAACCUUUAUGCUGAAGAUGAGAAGGAUCUCCGCCUUGAGUAUCGCUUUUGGCACUACUUUCAUUUCUACUAUUAUGAUUCCAUUCUUUACCGCAAGUCUCUUAAGAAAGGGAAGUCUCCGGUUAUUCAAAUGAAGUAUAUCAUUGAGUACUCCCUUUCCUCCACCUUCAAAGAUCAAGAGAUUCGACAAAUGGUGGAAGACUUGCGCAACAUGGGUCUCUCUGGGCUGAUGGAGCUUCACAGGCAUUGGAACAAUGAGGUGAUUAUGCAGUUUUAUGCUUCCUAUUUUCAUGAGACUGACAGCGAGAGUGACACUGAUGUUAUUCACUGGACCACUGAGGGUCGUCACUACAAGGUUGAUUUUGUCACCUUUGCUCGUUUGCUUGGUUUCAAUGGGCAUGAUCGUCGUGCAGCGGAGAUUACUGAUUAUGAGGAUGUGGCUAUGUCUGAGUACCAGUUUAUGUAUUUGGAGGGUUUUCCUGCUGAUGGACAGACCGUUUAUCUGAAGCCCUAUUACUAUGUGCUCAACAACAUUCUCAGGCAGGUUUUGUACCCCAAGGAAGGAGACUCCACUUUUCUUAGGGAUGAUUCUCAGAAGGUCCUAGCUCGUUUUGGAGAUGAUUUCCAGAAGUUCUCGGUCAGCCGGUACAUCUGGAACAGGAUACAUGAUGCUUCUGAGGAUCCGGUCAAGAACCUUCCAUAUGCUCCUUACAUCAUGCAUGUCAUUCAGCAGGUCUCAGGCAUUCACUUUCCUACUGAUGGCUCUAAUCACAAGGUGUUGAGAUUGGCAAAUCGGGUCUCCGUCCAAGCAGCUAGGGCUUUGAAGGCUUGUGGUGCAGAUCCUCCUCCUCGCCGUGGUGGUCCUUCCUCUGCUCGUUCCCGUCGUGCUGCUCCUUCGCCUCCUGCUAUCUCCCGCUCCACCAGUUCUCAGCCUCUCACCUCCUCUGGCAAAGGCAAGAAGCCCAGCAAGUUCAAGUUUCUGAUGACUUAUAUGUUUGGACAAUGUUGUGCUAGUGCUCAGAGGCAGCAUGAUAUUCAGGAGAGGCUCUAUCGUCUUGAGCAGCAGGCUGGUGUUGUCUCUUCGCCCCCUCCUCCGUUUGUGCCUCCCAGUGAUCCUCUUGCUCUUUAUGAUGAGGCUUGCCAAGCUUAUCAGGAUGAGGCCACUUCUCGCCCUCAUGGCAAAGGUGUGGCUGCCCCUGAGGAUGAGGAGUACCAUGAAGAAGAACAAGAUGAUGAUGAUGAUGACGACGACGAUGAUGAUGACGGUGACGAUGAGGACUUUGACAUUGAGUAGUCGUUUCUUCUCUAGCGCGGCCUACCCCUUUUGGCACUUGUUGACAAAGGGGGAGUGUUAGGCUUUGAUCUUUCAUGUAAUAAGCUAGAUGUCGUGGUUGGUAGACUUAAUAAUUUCUUAGUUUGGAUUAUCUAUGUCUCGUGGUGGUACUAUGUGAUGGACAUCUUUAUAUUUGUUGUGUGAGUUGGAUGAUUGUAGGACAAGUUGUUAAUCUUUUAUCUAUCUACGUUGUUUACUUGUCCUUGCCUCUUUUGUUUGUUUGUUGAUUGAGUUUUUGUGAUGGCCAUGUACUUAAGGUCUAUCUUGGUUUAUUGGUCAUCCUAUUCUCUCCACUUUGUUGUGUGAAUAUAAACUGUCAUUUUGCAUACUUUUUCACGGUUAUACUCUUGUUCACACUUGUUGCACCCCACGAAGUGCAAAAUUUAGGGGGAGCUUGUUCUUUGAUGUAUGUUUCUUAAGUGAUGACAAUCACCAUUGAAAUUCAAAUUCAUGCAUACAUCAAGGGGGAGCUCACUGUAAAUUUUGGACUUCAAAAGCUUUUUGACUUUCAUUUGUAAGCCUAAACUUGGUUGUCAUCAAGCACCAAAAAGGGGGAGAUUGAAAGUGCAUUUGCCCCCUAUGUGGGUUUUGGUGUAUUGAUGACAUCCAAUUUAGGGACUAAUGCGUUGUAUUUGAGAUUUGCUACAGCUACUAAUCUCAUGAAAGAUGCAAAGGUUCGACUUAAGAUGAAAUGGUAUCCCCCAAUCUUCGUUCGUGAGAAAGGCGUUGGAAUCAAUCUAGAGCUUAAUUGUUUUUCUUUAAUUUUGGGGAUAGGUAUGCCGUACUAUCAAGAGGGAUUCAAAAGUUGUUGGUUUGGCGAAGAUAGAGUGCUCAAGUCUUUCAACUAAAACUUUUUAGAGACACUCUAACACCUCUCUUGCACUUAGGUUUAACUUCUGUGACUUCUGGUGUCGGAAGUCCCGACGCGGGUCGGAACUCCCGACGUGCUGCGCGAGAACUGUGAACGUCGGAAGUCCCAACGUAAGUCGGAAGUCCCGACGUUGAAUUCUGCGCGCGCACAUGUCGGAAUUCCCGACAAGCGUCGGAAGUCCCGAUGCCAGAACUUUGGCUGGCUGCUCCCUCGCACGAGCGUCAGUAGUCCCGACCAGCGUCAGCAGUGCUGACGCGUCGGAAGUCCCGACGCUUGUCGGAACUUCCGACGUUGCCGUUUCUGCGCUGACUCAGUUUGCCUGUUGAACAGUUUUUCCCCGUGAGUGUCGGAAGUCCCGACACUAUGUCGGAACUUCCGACGUAGACCUGAGCAGACUUUUCUCCCAGUAGUAUAAAUAGCUCUCUCUGUGUUUCUAACCGUUACCCACUCUUUCAUUGCGACCAUCCCUCAGACUAAACAGCUCCCAAGCAUUCAAGACUCCCCUCUCCUCCUCCUCUUUGCUCCCAACUUCGAUUCACCUUAGAUUUGGAGUGAUUGGAGAGUGGUUAAGUGAGAGCAACGUCUUGAGAAGCUUGAGCACUUGAUCUCUUCGUCAAGCCGGCAGGUUUUGAGUUUAUUACUCUUGGGUUCUUGGAACCCUAGCCGGCUAGGCAUCGUCCAAGAGCUUCUAUCUUGUGGAAGAGCCUUGGAAAGUUUGUAUUACCCGGUUUUUCUUAGUGGAAAGCUCAAGUGACCUUUGUGGUUACUUUGAGGGAGGCAAGGAGGUGAAAGAGACUCCGACCUUGGUGGUCACCUCAACAACGAGGACGUAGGAACUCCUAAGUGGGGUUGCCGAACCUCGGGUUAAAUCCUUGUGUCUCUUGUGGUUGUUUGUCUUAAGAUCUACUUGUAUUACUUGUAUUUGCUUGUGCUUCAACCUCCUUUUAGGGUUUGGUCUCGAUCUACGGUUUGGGGGACUCUUGGUGUCAAGGAAGGUUCUCAACAUCCUCUUCUAACCACUAGAGAGUGGUGUUGUAAGUUGUGGAUCUCACAAAGUUCAUUUAAGCACUUGUAGUUCAUUUUCCGUAGGUGUCGGAACUGCUGACAGUUUGCGUCGGAACUUCUGACAACGUCGGAAGUUCUGACCCAAACUGUCGGGACUUCCGACAGUUGCUGACAAGUGACUUUGAGUUUUGUGUAGAAUUUUUAUAUACGCCUAUUCACCCCACCUCUAGGCAUUGUUUAGAUCCUUUCAUGUUAUUAUACCUAUUUGAUGUCACAAAUUUUUAAAGUUUUCUCUAUAAAUUUAGUAAAGCUUGAGAAGCUUUAACUCUCCAAAAUUUUUGAAAUGACUUGUAAUUCAGGACAGGUUAAGUACCUAAUAUACUUUAAAGUCUAAAAUGUCAUUUUACUUUAUAUAUAUACGUUGUUAAAAAAAUUCUAAAAUCACACUAAACCAUUGUAUUAAUAUAUCCAGCUGUUCUCAAUUCUCAAUAUCAGACCUUGUUUAGUUGGUGAAAAAUUUUGGUAUUGACUACUCUAGCACUUUCGUUUGUAUUUGACAAUUAUUAUCCAAUUAUAAACUAACUAGACUUAAAAAAUUUGUCUCACAAAUUACGGACAAACUGCAUAAUUAUUUUUUAUCUAUAUUUAAUACUUCAUGCAUGCGUCUAAGGAUUUAAUGUGACAGAGAAUCUUGAAAAAUUUUGAGAUUUUUGGUGAAGUAAACAGGCGUCAAUAUGCCAUACGAUGAUUAUUUAUGGGUUACACAUGCACCCAUUUAUUUUUUUUGUAAAAAAAAAGGACUCAAAGGGUAAAGACGGUAAUGAGGAAAAAAAAACCCCCCGCUCUCCUUCUUCCCCUUCCCGCUGACACCAGCUGGCGCGUGCGUGAAGGAUACGCCAACGCCGCAAACCGACCACUCCAUCUUCCCGGGCAAUAAAACCCCAGUAACUCAUCGGCGUCUCCUCCCCCGCUUCCCAGAGCAAUCCAUCCCCAGAGUUCUGGAAUCCCACUUCCUGAUCUCCAUCUCCCAGCAUCUCCGCGCGCGCCCCAUCGCGAUCUCGGCUCCGCGGCUGCCUCGAUCGAUUCCCCCAAGGCCGCAGGUGCUCCCCAUCCUCCCUCCUCGCUCGAUCCGCACUCCUCUCGACUCGUCGCCCCUUCGGAUCCCGUUGCGAUGCUGAGCCUGCCUCCUCCGGCCCCACCCGCGGCGGCGGCGGUGGCGGUGGCGGCGGCGGCGGCGGCGGAUGAGAAGCGUCCCUCGCCGCCGAUGAAGGCGAAGCUGCUUUUUCCGUACGCCGUGUCCUGCGUGUUCGGCGGCAUGCGCCGCGCCUGGGGCAUGGCUCUCGUCGGGCUCCACGCCUUGACCCGUGUCGUCAAGGUCGUCUCCUUCACGACAGACGCAGAGGAGGUUCGCUUCUUGGUACCGAUCUUCCACGGCUGGGUGUACCUCGGCAUCGCCGCCGUGGUGCUCGUGACGUGCGUGGACAUCAUCUACUACACGGUGAGUCUGCUCUUUCCAUACGCUGUGUCCUGUGUGGUCAGCGGCAGAGGCCGGCCCAGGGGCAUGGCUAUGAUCAGCCUCCACAUUGUGCUCAGCAUCGUCAAGGUCCUCUCUUUCACCACAGACCCUGAGGUGGCCCGCUUCUUGACACUAAUCUUCCGUGUGUGGGUCUACUUUGGCAUCACUGCCAUGGUCCUCAUGACGUGCGUGGACAUCGGUCACUACUUGUAUGGUUUGUACACCUUGAUGUUCCAUCCGUCACAGCAGCAGCUGGCAGCGGCAGAGGUGCUGCUCCCGCCUCCACCUCCGGAGAUGGACAUGUGCUAAAUUUGGUCGGUGGGUUCGGUAUGUCUUUGAUUGCUGGCGUCAGGUGCGUUUUCUAACCCGUUCUUCAGUCUCUGUUUUAGUUGCUUACUUACAGGUGUUGCUGCUCUCCUUGCUCAAGGUACAUGCCCUUCCCUUCUCAGCCCUAUCUUCGGUUCAGCACUUUUAAUGCACAUAUUGCUUAACUAUACAGCUACAAGUAUCUGAAACAUUAAGUUUUGAAACAGAAAACAUCUUGAUUUUAGGUUCCAUAUAUAUAGUGUAGUUGUCUGUGGCCCAUAUGAUUUGGUGCAGAUUUCGCUGCUUGUGCUAGACAUUCUGUUUUCAAUUUGUUUAGGCACCACUAGAAAUUGUAAGAUGCUUCAGGUGCUUCCUGUUUAGUAGCUAUUAAAUGGUAUGUUUUUCCAUGCCUCAAUCUAUCUUUUGUAUAACAACGAAUCCACAGUGUGUUCAUACUUCAGUAGUUGCAUUGUGGGAGCACUCCAGUGAAUUUAUUACUUAUUGUUCUGGUAUGUCUUUUCCUUGUUUAUUACUUUCUGUAUUUUGUGUUAUUUGUGAUAAACAGGCUUUCUGAUGAAAGGAUCAAGUGGCAAACAUCAGUGAAAGAACAUCACAUGAUGGCCCGAUCUGGACGUGACCAUCACAGGGAAGUGGUGUAAAAGAUCAACCUGUUGAGUGCCAUGAUAACAAAAAUGCCAGCGCGCUAAAUUAGGACAGAACUAAGUAGAGCUGGAAAAUACUGCGAACGAAGUGGGAGAAGAACCAAGUUUGAAGCUUUUAACUGGAAUAGCUAUUACUUUUGUGCAGUUCGAAGUUUCUCAUUUGCAAUAGCUACUUUUUAUUUCAUAGUUUGUUCAGUAUCUUUAGGAAAUAAGAUAUGUUUUUUUUAUAUCUCUAAAAUAAUUUCAGUUGCCAUUGUCUGUCUUGGAGUAGUGCUAUAAAUAAAUUUGUUUGAUUUCACAUUGUCUCUUGUUACUUGGGUUUCUUUUGUUCUCUGUGUUGUUUCUGCUGGGUCUUUGUCACUCCUGGUCACCCAAGUGUGACCUCUGUAGUAUAUGCACAAAAAUAUUACUAAUGUCGAAAAAGGUCUGAAAUUUUUUAAAUAUAAAUGGUACAGAACAAUGGUUUGUAUAUAUAGUUUAGUUACAUGUUUUUUAGUAUCUGACUGUACUGUGAAAAUGGGAAGUCUAGCAUCUGGUACUUCCAUUGCACGCUGAUUGGGAAGUCUAAUUGAAUUGUGGUGAUUGGCCUGAUUGGUGUUGGGUCUCACACAGAGGCCAUAUGCGACAUGUGCCAAUGGCUAUGAGAUCCCUUUCUGCAAAAUGGAACAGCUAAAGGAUUUUGUUUUCCCUUUUUGUGCGCAUAAUUAAAAAAUGAAAUGAACUGUCUAUUAAUACUGUUGUACACUUGUACUGUGUUUUAUGUUUUGGAAUUAGCUAGUCACUUGAUAUAUGUCAAAACUGCUAAUCUGAUAGGAUUUUCUUGUUAGUGAUGUUGAUAGCUAAUCUAACAUUUUGUUUGUGUGACCUUUUGAAUUAUUAUUCAAGUCCUCUGUUUAUUGUUUACAUGCUUAUAGGUGUUGAUGCUCUCCAUGCUCAAGGUACAUGCCCUCCCCUUUCGGACCCUUUCUUUGAUUCAGCAUCUUUAAUGUCGUAGUUGCUUAAUUGUGCAGCUAUAGUAAGGAUCUGAAAUCUGAAAUAAUAAGUUUUGAAACAGAAAAUGUCUGGAUGUUAGGUUCCAUAUAUAGAUGUUUGUGGCCCAUAUGGUUUGGCACAGAUUUCUUUGCCUGUGCAAGACUUCUUUUUCCAAUUUGUUUAGGCACCAAUGGAAACUGGAAGAUCCUUAAGCUGUUUAGCUAUUAAAUGGUACGUUUUUCAAGUUUUGUUCAAUCUAUCUUUUAUAGAACAAUGAAUCCACAAUUCUCAGUGUUGUGGAUGAUUGACUUGCUCCUUAAAGAUCUUCCUGGUGUAGGUUAUCCUCUCUUUGUUGCUGGAAUGAUCAUUUUGAUGUUGCUGCUCCUUGCGUUGCAUUUCUGUUGGUGUUAUAUUAUAGCGUGGAUUGUUCUGUUUACAAUUCUACUAGUGUAUAUUGCUUUCUUAGUUUCUUUUGCUAGUACAGUCAUUGAUUGGUUGCAUUGCGCUACAGUUUCACUGCCAUUUCUUAAUUUUACAGCAUGUAAAUUCUUUUGUCACAUGACCCAUCUUUUAGCUGUAAAAUUAAAUGCGAAUGUCUUGAUAUAUAUACUCGGAAAUGUACUUCAUAUAUUUAACAACCUGACAUGACUACAAAAGAUCAUGAGUCCAUGUUGAAUUAGCACUAAGCAUCUGAACAUUGGUAGAAGUGCAAUCCUUUUCUAGAAAUUAUUUCACUUGAGAAGGAAGCAUUUACUUGGACCUGUCAACAUAUGUAGGAUAUCGAACGUCAUAAUGUUCAAGUGCACAUUAUGUUCAACAAGGAUGAAUGACCCGGUUCAGGCAGGUCUUCACCAACUACAACUGGAAGACAGAUGCUCAAUCAUAUACAUUGUGCACAUAGCAUUGAUGAAAUACAAAGGCUAGAUUGUUUGCUAAGACAGCCUGAAUCCUAUGAUGCAGAUUCAUUUUCUUAGUAGAUUGUUCCCCUUUUAUGGGAAAGCUGAUGAUUUCAAUGUUGCUAUGGGCAUCAGAUGCCAACCAUUGUACUAUAGGGCAUAGGCAUAUUAUUUGAACCACUUAAUAGUUUUAUCAGGCUUCAAAAGCCUCAGCUUGGAAUGGUAGUAUAUAUCCAUAUACCUGGCUCAAUGGGCUUGCAGUACCAUAUAAAUGGGAAUUACAGCCGUACAUGGACUGAGUGUGUUGUGUAAUAAAAAAGUACUCCGCAUGUUAUGCGUUGGAGUCUCUAAUUAACUAUGGCCUUGUUUAGAUGCAUCCAAAACUUUACAAGAUUUCCCAUUACAUCGAAUUUUAUGGCACUUGCAUGGAACAUUAAAUAUAGAUAAAAAAGAUAACUAAUUGUACAGUUUACCUGUAAAUCACGAUACAAAUCUUCUAAGUCUAGUUACUCUAUGAUUGGAUAACGUUUGUCAAAUAAAAACGAAAUUGCUAUAGUGUCAAAAUUUAAAAAGUUUUUGGAUCUAAACAAGACCAUGUAUAACUUGAAUUCUAUGUUUGUUUUUGGAGAUCCAUUACAGUAGUCGCUGCUGCCGCCACCUUUGCUGCAUCGCCUGUCAUGUAUAGCAGUGGCUAAAGAUGAGGCAGAAUCGAUUGGACUUCAUCUUGGGAGUGCUUAUGAGGCCAGUCUCAGUUAUCCGUUUCAAUACACUGUUUCCAAAACAAAUCCGCUGAUAGGACAUCAAUAAAACGAAUAAUGAAACAACCUCCACAAUGCAUGAGUUUCACCUUGACGUUUCCUAGGCUGGGCAAAGCAUUUAAUUACUGCAAAAUGAUUAGAUCACAUGCAAGAUGGUGAAACGAUUUAGCCCUCAGUGGGUAUUUCAUCCCGUUUCACCGCGUGGGAAACAACGCCCACGGAGUUUCACCAUGGUGAAAUUACUUCCUUCUCUCUCCUCAUCAUUUCAUGCAAAAAGUAUAGUUUUGCUGAUACGACGCUCUAAUAAAUAUGCAUGACAUCCUGAUGAAACCCCUACUGAGACUGGCUUGAUAGUUGUUUACACUAGAGUUGUUUGUAUAUAAUGUACUUAAUCUGGAUGUAAUUGGCUUGUAUAUAGCGCUUCUAAAUCGAAAAUACUACUGGAAACAAUUUCAGUCUUAUUAGCAUUUUAUUUUGAAUGUGCGUAUCGAAUUCAGAGACCAAAUUACAAAUCAGUAUGUACAGAUUGUGUGGCCUACCUCUGAAAAACAGCUUGUCUCUGUCAGUGUGUCCCAACAUACAAGUUAAGCUUGAUCGGCCCUGUCUUUGUCACAGACUGAGCUUCCUGUGUAUUGUGUAUUGCUACGACAGUGUCAAUAGGACACAAAUCUGUGUUUCAGGCCUCAAAAAGUAGUUUUCGCCUGAUAGUGUUGGCAUAUGAAAGCCAUAUGGUUUUAGGACGAUGGCACUGCACCAGUAGAUGAAUCCGUUUGAGUUAGGUCAUAAUUUGUUUUCAGAGUAUGAACGGUAACUAUUGGUUUAUAUCACAUUUAGUGUGCCAGUGUGUUCUAGUAUCUAAUCCGUGAUGCUUGUGGCUUUUUUUUCAACCAGACAAAAAAGAUUCUAGUAGUGACCUCUAGGUCACUUGUUCUUUCAGGGCUUUUAAUAUACUACUUCUGUCCCUGAAAUCUUCAACUUCUGAGUUGUCUUAAGGUCUUGUUUAGUUCCGAAAUUUAUUAGUACGGUGUCUAUUAGAAUCAAAAAGCGUAAGGAUAGGAGCAUGGUCAUUGCGAAGCAUUGGAAGAUGAUAUAUAGUUGUCCGAGGAUAAGCCAUACAUCAUUCCACGUUGGUAGGACAACGAUCAAGAUGUUUGAAAGUUGGAGCAGAGUUGAAUCUCUUAUUGGUCCAUGUGUACGUCGGUCUACUAUAUCCAAGAUCAAUAAAACCACCUUGUUUGACAAAAUCACACAAAACAUUAAUGCGCCUACGAUCAGGUCUACUAGGACCUGAUUUUUCAUUGCGGUGCAUAAUAUCAUUCAUAUCUCCCAUAGAUAACAUAGGCAAGGUGCUAUGACUUACAACAAAAUCCAGCACACACCCAUAUGGUGGUAGUGUUAAUGUGAUGAGAGUCACCAUAAAUACAAACUAGCCCAAAUUGUUUCUGGUCUAGAUUAUUACCACACAGGGCAAAAAUAUAGUUCUAAGACUGAUCAACUAUAGUGAGACUAACAUCCUACUUCCAGAUUAACCAAAGGCCGUCAGAUUGGCCUUGAGCAGGGACUACCGACGCAUCUAUGGCAUUAAAACGAUUAAUUAAAGAAGUACAAGAAAUAGAGGAAAUUCUAGUUUAAGAAAUAAAACAUACUUAUGACUUAGUAGAGGUAAUUAGGUGGGCAAGAUAUGUCAUCUUAGAAUUGCUCAGGGAUCCGCCCGAUCCCCGGCAGUUCCACGCCAGGAGUGUCAUGGCGUCCGCGGUGCCUAUGCGGCUAGUGCUGGAGCCUUUUGAAGAUUGAGGUCAAUAACAAGCUGAGUAGGGCUGCGAGCUGUACCCCUACUUUUACUAGCAUCAUCACUUCAUAGAUAAGCUGUAGAGUGGGGUUCGCCGUGGGGGAGAGCAUGAUGUUUUUCGUCACCCAGAUCUAGUUCCUCGAGAGGAAGCUGGCGAUGAUCAGGAACAUGAGUCGUAGCCAUAGUGUCGGUGCCGUGGGGUGACGUAUGGCAAGGAUGCAUUGAAGUGAGCGAUUGAUGUUGCUGUGAUGCAGUGAUGGCGUGGUGGUAUGGCUUAUUGGUGAUGGGGGUUGAGGCCGAGGUGGAGAGGUGGGUAUGGGGGUUGAAACCGUUGGUGGAUAAGGAAGCUUGGAGGGCGCAUCUUGGUUGGGUGGCUUAGGCUCCAUGGUGAGGGGGACCGGCAUGGAAGUAUAGUCACUUGCCAUGGUGGAAAGGGAUAGAAGAAGACAUAGAAAGGGGAGUACAAAGGUGAAUAACGCGGGCUCAUGAGUAAGAUAUAGCAUACCUCCUUCAAAUCUAGAUCUCAGGCUAUUGACUGCCACCGGUUGAAGCUGUAGACAGCCUGAACUGCAUGAUAGGGAGAUUGGGAGGAGAUUUGGCGCAUGAGAUUAGGACUAGGGGAAGCAGCUUCCGCCACUGCACAGGUCCUAUCGUGUGGUGCCCACUGAGAGAAUCAGCAGAAGGAGCCAGAACCGCUCAGAUCGGAUGUGGAUUGGCACACAAGAUGAUGAUCGAAAGCAGUGAUGAAGCCAGCAGGGGGGGCUAGGGGGGCUCCAGCUCCCCCUACCGCUGCUGGUUCAGGAGAAUUUUUAGUGCUCUCCUUCUAAUUUUAGACACAAAUUUAUAAGGUAGGGUGGGCUGAACAUUUUAUUUUUUAGAUAUAUUUUGUGAAUUUCAUUAUUAAUCUAUAUUUACGAGGAGUAAUAGUAGAGCUAAGUUAAUGUAGAACUUUUGUUCAGCCCCUCCUAAAUUUUUUUCUGGCUUCGUCCCUAAUCUAAAGGAUUGGGAUGGAUUAUAGCAAGGGGAAUCAAGGAUUUAGGGGGGAUUGAGUGGUAGGAAGGUAACUCAUGGCAUAACGACCAAUACUACUCAGAGCUCUUGUGGUCUAGUUCACAACCCAACCUAACAUAAAUCAUUACGGGGAGAAAAUAGUACCUAUAUAGAAUAUAAGUACAAUCAGCAGUGACUGUACACAGAUAGGAAUAUAUAUUGAUUUGAAAUGAACAAAUUAUAAUGUUUCUUUUUUUAGAACACACUCUGCAUCAAAUCUGACAAAAUAGAAGUCAGUAGUGGCAGCACUACAGGCUCUGUCAGAAACUAAGCGAGGGUGCAAGCUUCAUGCAUUUCGGAGUGAUCAAGGAGGAGAGUUUAACUCCAUUGAGUUCAAGCAGUACUAUGAUGAGUAUGGAGUCAAACAUUUCACCACAACUUCAUAUACACCAUAGCAAAAUAGCAUUGUCGAGCGAUAGAAACGCACUGUGGUGGAAAUAGCAAGAUGCCUGUUAAAGAGCAAGAGUGUCCUUGUGAGUUUUGGGGAGAAGUGGUGUCAACUGCAGUCUAUUUACUAAACCGAGCCCCAACAAAGAGCCUGCAAGAGAAAACUCCAUUUGAAAUAUGGCACAACCGCAAGCCCAAAGUACAUUAUCUUUGCAUGUUUGGUUGCAUUGCCUAUGUGAAGAUAGUUGGGCCUGGUAACUAAAUGGUGUUUGUCAGCUAUAAAGCAGGAACUAAGGGUUAUGAUGCCUAGCCUUGCUGAUGUGGCAUAGUUUGGCGCCACGAAACAUGACGCUGACCUCAGUACUAAUGUCAGACGCUGUCCUCGCCAUCCUCAGCUUGCUUUCGAAGUUGCAUGUCGUCUCAUUAUACCUACGCCUUGUUUAGUUUCAAUUUUUUUUCCAAAACAGACACCGUAACACUUUGGUUUGUAUUUCACAAAUAUUGUCCAAUCAUGGAUUAACUAGACUCAAAAGAUUCAUCUUGUAUAUUAUAGGUGAACUGUGUAAUUAUUAUUUUUAUCUAUAUUUAAUGCUCCAUGCAUGCGUCUACAGAUUUGAUGUGACGGAAAAUCUGAAAAAUUUUGCAAAACUUUCUAGGAACUAAACAAGGCCCUAAUGUGCUGUAGUGCAUGUGAGAGGGCGGUAUGAGCGCAUAGAAAGUUGUGUUUUUUUGGUCUCGAUGAAAAUAUGUUGACAGGGCCUUGUAUAGUUAAGCUUUUUCGAUUAGUAUUUUUAUUUUAUUUGAUAACUAAUGUCCAAUCAUAAACGUUUAAAAGAUUCAUCUAGUAAAUUAUAGGCAAACUAUGCAAUUAGUUAUUUUUUAAUUUAUAUUUAAUACUUUGUAUAUGUGUUUAAAAAAUCAAUGUGACGAGGCGAAAAGAAAAAUUUUGGAAUGCGAGGCAAGUUUGUUGCCGAUUUUUUUUAAAGGGGCGGUGGAAUUUUCACAAGAGAUGAAGAGACUUUUUACUGUAAAUAAAAAGAUAAUACCGUGUGAUUGAUUUUUCUAUGCCUGGGUCCGUUGGUUGAUCAAAUUUUUUUAAGUACUGAAAUUACAAAUUGCCUCUAUAGAAAAUGUAAUGAACAAAAUCUUCUAUUUUGAUAUAAAAUAUAUGCAAUAAUAGUCGCCUGAAAUGACCUUGGUCAUGUGUUGCAACUAGAAAAAAAUACUCAUGUGUUGCUACUGCAAAAAGUAAUAUCAUAAUAAUUUAAAUUUCAACAUGUGUUGUACUGUAAACACAUAUUUUCAACAUGUGUUAGUUCGUGAUUUUUUUACUUUGGCUACUACUGUACUAUUUUCGUUUAAAUUUGGUAAUUAUUAUCUAACUAUAGACUAACUAGGCUCAAAAGAUACGUCUCGUAAAUUACAGAUAAAUUAUACCAUUAAUUAUUUUUAUUUAUAUUUAAAUAUUCCAUGCAUGCAUCUAAAGAUUUGAUGUGAUGGAAAUCUAGAAAUGGCUACACCGAUGCCCACGAGACGCGAGGCUUGCCUGGCCGCAUGAGGCCCUUGGCUGAGCUGUACUUCCUCCGUAUAGAAUUUAGAUGUUGUUUAGGGCAGCGAUACAUCUCCGAAAGACAACUUUGACCUCUUAUUUUUAUAAAAAUAUUUAGAAAAAAAUAAUAUAUGUAUACUUUUAUGAAAGUAUUUUUCAAGAUAAAUCUAUUCAUAAAAUUUUUACAUUUGCAAACUCAACAAUUUAAAAGUUAUUGAUGAUUUAUAUCCCAACGUACGAAGGGAGUACUUGUAUAUUUCAACUUUUAUGUAUGAAGAAAUCAAUUUUUUAGUUUUUGUGGCAACACACAAAAUUAAUUACUCGCUCCAUUCUAAAUUAUAAGUCAUAAGUCAUUUCAAAAAUUUUGGAGAUUUAAAGUAUCUCAAGUUUAACCAAAAGUAUAAAGAAAAUAUAAAAAUUUAUGACAUUAAAUAGGUACAAUAUGACGAAAUUUAUGAUGCCAACUAAGUAUCAAUGUAUGAGUAGAUUUUUUAUUAAUUAUAUCUUUGUAUUAUACCUAUUUGAUGUCAUAAAUUUUUAUAGUUUUCUCUAUAAAUUUACUAAAUCUUGAGAAGCUCUGUCUCUCUAAAAUUUUUGAAACGACUUAUAGUUUAGGAAGGAUUAAGUACCUAAUAUACUUUCAAGUCUAAAAUGUCAUUUUACUUUAUAUAUGCGUUGUUAAAAAAUCCUAAAAAUAUCUAAACCAUUGUAUUAAUAUAUCGCGCCGUUCUCAAUUCUCCAUAUCAGGGUUUGUUUAGUUGGUGAAAAAAUUUAGUAUUAGCUACUGUAGCACUUUCAUUUGUAUUUGAUAAUUAUUAUCUAAUUAUAGACUAACUAGAUUUAAAAAAUUGGUCUCACAAAUUACAAACAAACUGAGUAAUUAUUUUUUAUCUAUGUUUAAUAUUUCGUGUAUGCGCCAACGAUUUACUGUGACAGAGAAUUUUGAAAAUUUUUGGGAUUUUAGGUAAAGUAAACAGGUCUCAAUAUGCCAUACGAUGAUUAUUGUUUAUAUGGGUUACACAUGCACCCAUUUAUUUUUUUUGUAAAAAAAGGACUCAAAGGGUAAAGACGGUAAUGAGGAAAAAAAAACCCCCCGCUCUCCUUCUUCCCCUUCCCGCUGACACCAGCUGGCGCGUGCGUGAAGGAUACGCCAACGCCGCAAACCGACCACUCCAUCUUCCCGGGCAAUAAAACCCCAGUAACUCAUCGGCGUCUCCUCCCCCGCUUCCCAGAGCAAUCCAUCCCCAGAGUUCUGGAAUCCCACUUCCUGAUCUCCAUCUCCCAGCAUCUCCGCGCGCGCCCCAUCGCGAUCUCGGCUCCGCGGCUGCCUCGAUCGAUUCCCCCAAGGCCGCAGGUGCUCCCCAUCCUCCCUCCUCGCUCGAUCCGCACUCCUCUCGACUCGUCGCCCCUUCGGAUCCCGUUGCGAUGCUGAGCCUGCCUCCUCCGGCCCCACCCGCGGCGGCGGCGGUGGCGGUGGCGGCGGCGGCGGCGGCGGCGGCGGCGGAUGAGAAGCGUCCCUCGCCGCCGAUGAAGGCGAAGCUGCUUUUUCCGUACGCCGUGUCCUGCGUGUUCGGCGGCAUGCGCCGCGCCUGGGGCAUGGCUCUCGUCGGGCUCCACGCCUUGACCCGUGUCGUCAAGGUCGUCUCCUUCACGACAGACGCAGAGGAGGUUCGCUUCUUGGUACCGAUCUUCCACGGCUGGGUGUACCUCGGCAUCGCCGCCGUGGUGCUCGUGACGUGCGUGGACAUCAUCUACUACACGGUGAGUCUGCUCUUUCCAUACGCUGUGUCCUGUGUGGUCAGCGGCAGAGGCCGGCCCAGGGGCAUGGCUAUGAUCAGCCUCCACAUUGUGCUCAGCAUCGUCAAGGUCCUCUCUUUCACCACAGACCCUGAGGUGGCCCGCUUCUUGACACUAAUCUUCCGUGUGUGGGUCUACUUUGGCAUCACUGCCAUGGUCCUCAUGACGUGCGUGGACAUCGGUCACUACUUGUAUGGUUUGUACACCUUGAUGUUCCAUCCGUCACAGCAGCAGCUGGCAGCGGCAGAGGUGCUGCUCCCGCCUCCACCUCCGGAGAUGGACAUGUGCUAAAUUUGGUCGGUGGGUUCGGUAUGUCUUUGAUUGCUGGCGUCAGGUGCGUUUUCUAACCCGUUCUUCAGUCUCUGUUUUAGUUGCUUACUUACAGGUGUUG
rnacentral:lncRNA from 1 species